rnacentral:rRNA from 1 species
GACGAACGCUGGCGGCGUGCUUAACACAUGCCAGUCGAACGGAAAGGCCCUGCUUUUGUGGGGUGCUCGAGUGGCGAACGGGUGAGUAACACGUGAGUAACCUGCCCUUGACUUUGGGAUAACUUCAGGAAACUGGGGCUAAUCCCGGAUCGGAGCUCCUGCUGCAUGGUGGGGGUUGGAAAGUUUCGGCGGUUGGGGAUGGACUCGCGGCUUAUCAGUUUGUUGGUGGGGUAGUGGCUUACCAAGGCUUUGACGGGUAGCCGGCCUGAGAGGGUGACCGGGCACAUUAGGACUGAGAGACGGCCCAGACGCCUACGGGAGACAGCAGUGGGGAGUAUUGCACAAUGGGCGGAAGCCGGAUGCAGCAACGCCGCGGGCGGGAUGACGGCCUUCGGGUUGUAAACCGCAUUCGCCUAUGACGAAGCGUGAGUGACGGUAAUGGGUAAAUAAGCACCGGCUAACUACGUG